rnacentral:rRNA from 1 species
GACGAACGCUGGCGGCGUGCUUAACACAUGCAAGUCGAACGGUAAGGCCUUCGGGUACACGAGUGGCGAACGGGUGAGUAACACGUGGGUGAUCUGCCCCCUACUCUGGGAUAAGCCUGGGAAACUGGGUCUAAUACCGGAUAUGACCUCCUUCUGCAUGGUUGGUGGUGGAAAGUUUUUUCGGUAGGGGAUGAGCCCGCGGCCUAUCAGCUUGUUGGUGGGGUAAUGGCCUACCAAGGCGACGACGGGUAGCCGGCCUGAGAGGGCGACCGGCCGCACUGGGACUGAGACACGGACCAGACUCCUACGGGAGGCAGCAGUGGGGAAUAUUGCACAAUGGGCGAAAGCCUGAUGCAGCGACGCCGCGUGAGGGAUGACGGCCUUCGGGUUGUAAACCUCUUUCAGCAGGGAAGAAGCGCAAGUGACGGUACCUGCAGAAGAAGCACCGGCUAACUACGUGCCAGCCGCCGCCGUAACAC